rnacentral:rRNA from 1 species
GGGCCCGCACAAGCGGUGGAGCAUGUGGUUUAAUUCGAUGAUACGCGAGGAACCUUACCAGGGCUUAAAUGGAAAUGACAGGGGCAGAGACGCCCCUUCUUCGGACAUUUUUCAAGGUGCUGCAUGGUUGUCGUCAGCUCGUGCCGUGAGGUGUCAGGUUAAGUCCUAUAACGAGCGCAACCCCUAUCGUUAGUUGCCAACAGGUUAAGCUGGGAACUCUAACGAGACUGCCGGUGCAAACCGCGAGGAAGGUGGGGAUGACGUCAAAUCAUCACGGCCCUUACGUCCUGGGCUACACACGUGCUACAAUGGCCGGUACAGAGAGCAGCCACUCCGCGAGGAGGAGCGAAUCUAUAAAACCGGUCUCAGUUCGGAUCGCAGUCUGCAACUCGACUGCGUGAAGCUGGAAUCGCUAGUAAUCG